rnacentral:lncRNA from 1 species
CGUGCAACUGCAGUCCCGAUAAUGAUUGAAGUCGCGAGAAUCAGGUCUUGAUGUGUGUAAAUCUGCAGGAGAGUAAGAGCAUCUUAAGACUGGACUGCAUUGAUGAGUGCUGCCCAUUGACCAAACCCCACCAGAAGCUAAAGACCCAAGGAGCCCAGGUAAAUCAAUAUCGCAAGACGAGUCUCGAGGUGCAGAAUGGCAAAAAAGGGGAGAGAAUGGAGACUAGUCUCAGAGAGAACAACCAGCAGGGUAAUUUUGAGCUGGAGAGUCUUGAAACCAUUUGACUUGUGGAAGAAAAUUGCUCGGAGCACUACGAAAAUAUCAUUGAGACCAUGUGGUUUUUAAACUCUUUUGCACUGUACCCUGUUUCCCAAUUAUUUCCAGCUGUGUCUAGCCACUAAGCGUACCUUCACAGCCUGACUUUUUUUUGAAAUAGUUGUGAAGUGCCAUUAUUCGUUUAUUUGUUCAAGUGAACGUCGAACAUCAGGCAGGGGUGGAUUCAGCUCUCUGUAGAGCUACCACCACUCUUUCUCCUGGAACUUCACGCUUCUCUAUUCUCCCCGAUCUUAUAUUUCUGACAAGAGUAGGAAGUGAAAAUAGGAUGAAGUCUCAUUAAUUCCUACUCCAUUCAUUUACUCUCUGAAAAAUAUAGAUGGGGAUGAAAUUUCCCUUAUACCACUUGUGAAGGAAAGGAUGCAUUAUAAAAAUGAAAAUUCAUAGUUAAAUAAGUAUAUUAACCUCCUGUUGAGAUCAUCACUUUUUCAAGUCAUUAAUAGCAUAAACUUGUAAAUUGUCAUAUAAUGAAUGGGUUGCCUACCUGAUCUGCUUAAGAUAAAUUUGUGAAUCAGUAAUUUGUGUUGUUUGUCGUUUUAUUUUCUUGAAAAGCAUUCCAAAACAUAGACAUCUAACCUAUUUUACAGUGCUUUGCACCAUUUUCC